GGUGCUGUGGCGCAGCGGGUUAACGCCCUGGCCUGAAGUACCGGCAUCCCGUAUGGGUGCUGGUUCUAAUCCCGCCUGCUCCU
rnacentral:tRNA from 1 species